AACUUAUUAGUCAAGAUAUCCUGAUUUGCACAGAAAAAUUUUCAGUGUAAAUGAAACACUNNNAGUAUAAUUUUUAAGGUG
rnacentral:tRNA from 1 species